ensembl:lncRNA
AUAUUACUUAACUGUUGCAAUAGGAAAUUAAGACUUAGGACAUAAGAGUGAUGGACAGGGACAUGAGACUGGAAUCUUCUGAGCCUGGUUGAGUUAGAAUCCCUGGGACUCAGUUGGAAAAAACUGUUACUCUGGACCUGGGAGAGGAAAGGAGAAAGAUGUGUGGCUACAUCUUCCAGAAGCUCAUUUACCAAGAUACUAGCCUGUGAAUAUCUUUUGGCUAUGGUGAGGAGUUAUUCUUCAGUCAUCUGCUGGUCAGGGAUGGAGGAGCUAACUUCAACUUGGAGAAUUACCACCUGUGGACAUUUCACCUGGGAUUCCUGUUUUGGCUCCCCAGAGACUCUUUAUAUAUCUGUAAAUGCAAUACCCAGAACUAACUCUAAACAACAGAGGACCACCCAGUCUACAUUCCAAGCCCUGUCCAUGGUACUGUCAAUGCCAAGGCAGAACUAAGAAAAAAAGGAAGUACAGGAACCUCAGGCCAGCUGCAACAAUCUUUGUUAAAUGAACCUUAAGGUAGACCCUUCUCUUAUUUUUCUAGUGUUUAUCAGCUCUGGAUAUAUGCAGAGCUUAAUGGGGAUGGGGGGGGAGCUAAUAACCCAAGCAAAAGCCAUGAUGAAGUAACCAUUUUACCAUUUAGCAACCAUGAAAUGCUAAAUGGUAAUAACUUUCAGAUUGGCUAAGUAUUUCAAGGGAAUAUGUUUAUCUUUUUCAUACUAAUCAAUUUCCAACUCCAAUAAUACUUUCCACUCAUUUUAUCACUUAAAACUUGAACUGGGGACUCUCAAUAAGGGAAAAACCUUUCCUUAAAAUAUAAAAUUCUCUAAACAAUACCAAAAGCAGAUUCUAACUUUUAAAAUUAAUCUGUCAAAAAGUAUUUUUGACUGCUGAUUAUAUAGUAGACACUGUGAUAAGAGUCAAAAACACAAAGAGAAAAGCUGUUUAGGAGGGAAAGAACUAGAAACUGGAGAGAUCAGGAAAGGCCAUGAAGAAGACAGUGCUUGAGCUACAUCUUCAAAGAAGAAAAAGAUUCUAUAAUGGGUAGAUAUGAGGAAGGAGUGCAUUCCAAGCAUAGAGGGUAAUAAAUACAAAGGAAUGGAGGUUGGAAAAUGAGUA